GUCACUCCCGCGGCGUUUUGUGUCAGAGUUGUGGACUUCGAUUUCCUUGAGUAUGAAUAUGAAUCUAGAAAGUCACUUAACUUCUCUAAAAUCCUGUUUCUUUCAAAAGGGGGAGAUAAUGAAAGGCUUCACAGAUGCGGUGGCAUUGGAACCAACUGCUGAAAGAACAGUUUUCCAGGCAGUGGAUAGUGAGAUUGAUUCCUCCCUUUGCAGAGGAGUGAGACAUGCACAGGCCAGGAGGCAUAAAACAACACCUGCUAAGGAUCUCCCGAUAGUUUGAAGUGUCGCUGGUUGGGAAGGAAGGAGGGGGUUCUUCUGAAAGUGGCGUUCACCAUACUUUAAGCAAAUGUCCCUGGCCUUCUGUGGAGAGCACUACUGACCCAUCUGGUUUGAUUCACAGCAGUUCUUAACACAGCUUCUUCCUGAGACAUGAACAAGAAAUGGGCACCAGCUGUUCUUGUCAGGACCCAAACCUCCAGAAUCUGCUUGAUCUCUUGGGAUUCGAUUUCUUGACAUGAGAAAGACACCCUCAGGAAUAAAUGUAUAAAGAAAAAAAAAGUU